rnacentral:rRNA from 1 species
GUGGGGAAUCUUGCGCAAUGGGCGAAAGCCUGACGCAGCCAUGCCGCGUGAAUGAUGAAGGUCUUAGGAUUGUAAAAUUCUUUCACCGGGGACGAUAAUGACGGUACCCGGAGAAGAAGCUCCGGCUAACUUCGUGCCAGCAGCCGCGGUAAUACGAAGGGGGCUAGCGUUGCUCGGAAUUACUGGGCGUAAAGGGCGCGUAGGCGGACAGCUUAGUCAGAGGUGAAAGCCCAGGGCUCAACCUUGGAAUUGCCUUUGAUACUGGCUGUCUUGAGUUUGGGAGAGGUGAGUGGAGCUCCGAGUGUAGAGGUGAAAUUCGUAGAUAUUCGGAAGAACACCAGUGGCGAAGGCGACUCACUGGCCCAAUACUGACGCUGAGGCGCGAAAGCGUGGGGAGCAAACAGGAUUAGAUACCCGGGUAGUCC